rnacentral:rRNA from 1 species
GAUGAACGUUGGCGGCGUGCCUAAUACAUGCAAGUCGAACGGAGAUUGUAGCAAUACGGUCUCAGUGGCGAACGGGUGAGUAACGCGUUGGUGACCUGCCCCGAAGUGUGGAAUAACAGAUCGAAAGAGCUGCUAAUACCGCAUAAUAUCCAGAGGACUAGAUGCCUUUGGAUUAAAGGAUUUAUUCGCUUCGGGAGGGGCCUGCGUCCCAUCAGCUAGUUGGUAAGGUAAAGGCUUACCAAGGCUAUGACAGGUAGGGGACCUGAGAGGGUGGCCCCCCACAAUGGAACUGAAACACGGUCCAUACACCUACGGGUGGCAGCAGUAGGGAAUAUUAGUAAUGGGCGAAAGCCUGAACUAGCAACGCCGCGUGUGCGAAGAAGGCCUUCGGGUUGUAAAGCACUUUUUGAGAGGAUGAGGAAGGACGGUACUCGUCAGAAUAAGUCUCGGCUAACUACGUGCCAGCAGCCGCGGUAAUUACGAGACUACG